AGGAAAAAGUGCCUCAAGUCAGUCUCAGCUGAUGGCAGAGAGGAAAACUGGGCCAGCCUAAUGCAUUCUGGUUUGCAGCAGUUUAGGACUUUGAGUUAUUUGAAGUGGUAAGAGAAAAAGAAAAUGAAAUUUUCCUAAAUACAUAGCUGGAGACUUUUUCCUUUGUACAGAUGCAGAAGUGGGGAAACGGGAGCCAGAAAGCCAAGCCAUGUGCAGAAGGGCACCAUCUGGUCAACGGAGCUGGGGUUAGAAUCCGGCGUCCUGAAUCUCCCAUGUGGGGAACAGAUCUGCGGAGCCUGUCACAUCACCAUUUUGGAAGUGGGUCACCUAUUUAACUCAUGUUCAGGAAGACAGUGCGAAUAGUGAAGAGAAUGUGAGCUUUAGAGUCAGAAAUAACUGGAUUUGAACCCCAGUGCUGCUACUUACAAGAAUCCUGGUCUUGAGCCAUUCUACUUGCAGUACAGGGGAUAGCUGAAGAGAAAAUCCUGACUCAUAUCCUGCAAUUUAUCAAGCUCAGUGGAAAGAGAUAGCUCACUAACAAGGCGAAAAGCAAAGGAAGAAUCGUCCUGACUGAGAUCACAUGCUUCAUGCCCAUUCCUUAACCCGUCUCUUUGACUAAAGGAAGAAAUACUUUGAUGAGGGUUUAUAACCACGAGGACCACCCCUGUGAUAGAUGAAUGGAGUGAGUAGGGUUAUCUCAACCGCAGAACCAUGGGAAAGAGUGCUUUUUAUACUGGAAAGUUCUGCCACACCACUCAAUGUAAGCAAUCAUAAAGAAUUCAUUGGCCUAUUGCUUUCGGUAACUAUUUUUAGGAAAGUGUUAUGGUAGAGGUCUCUGGAAAGAGAGUGGCUUCCAGAAACCAGGAGGCAUAAUUUGGCAGCAGAAUGGGUACCCGGGGUGUAUUGGCGACUUCUGUUUACAGAAGGCAAUGCUCUCUAGGCUACUUAUGCCCAUGCCUGCCUUCACUUUACUCUUCAGAACAACCCUGUGAGGUAUAUGUUAUUAUUCCUCAUUUAUGAUUAAAAAAGUAAAUUGACCUAGGUCACAAGCUUGGUCACAAUCAAAGUUCAGUUUUGAACCCAGAUCUAUUUCUGAAAACCAUGUGCUUUUCAACAUAUGGUAAUGUUCUAAAUGCAAAAUGUUGGCAUCUUGACAAAGUAAGCAGAGGUUUUCAUUUUGUGUUGCUUUCCCUCUUCCUUUCCUCUAAGAAAAAAGAACAUGUUACCUGUUAGAGAUCAACUUUGGGAAAGUGAUACAUUCUGAGGAUCUAGGAGCUGGGAGGUCGUAAGCAUUGAAAGCAGCAAAAAGGAUGGGAAAGUCCUUUGGUGGUGAGCUUAGGACAGAUUUUCUUUUCUACUUAUAACAUUAAAAGAAUGGAGAUUUGCUGAGAUUUUCCACUUCUAUAUAUAAUCAGCAAAUUUGUUAUUUGUCACAGAUUUUAUAUUAAGUAGUUGGUACGGAAUGUCAGACUGUACUAUUCCCUCACAUAACAACUAUUUAUUGAAUUUUUACUAUAACAUAAGCAUUAAAAAAAGAAACCUAAGGGCAUAAAAUAUCUAAUAAAAUGGUAAAAAUCAAGUUUUAAAGAUUAAAUAAAGGAAAGUACAAAAGGAAAGACUAAAAUUCAGCUAAAUCAACAAAAAUCUCGCAGGCCACCUCAUGUACUUUGAUGGCGUUCACCCUCCCAAAUCUAGAGAAACAAUGUGUUAUGGCCAAGUUUAGCUCUUAUUCUUCCUCCUACAAAAUUACAGUAGACUAUGAACUUGUGGUUUCUGUCCAAGUGAAAACUUCCCACGAUUAUAUUCCUGACAUUUUACUAUAUAAAAAGAAGAGUCUAAUUUCUCUACAGAAAAACAGGAUUUCAAAAUUAAACCUGGGAGAGUGAAGAGUUCAAACUACACAAUCUCUCAGUUAUUUGUAGUGACCUUUAGCAACACUUGGUUGGAGCCACCAAAGAGCAAAAUUCUUCAUUUAUAGUUUUUCAUUUUUAAAAAAAGUAUCUAUGAAUAAAGAUCCAAAAGUCUCAAAGGGAGCUUCAUAGAGUUGUUCAAUCCAGAAUAGAAAUCAUCAGGAUUCACAAAUAUUUGUGCAGAAAAGCCUGCAUAGUUAUUCAACUCCUGGAGGAAUAAUUCCUAAAUCUUAGCAUGGCACACUGGGCGUCUAAGUUCAAGUUCCUACCUACUUUUUACCUUUUAUGUGAGUAAUACUUUCUCACCCUCUCAGGACCUAAAGCCCUUGCUAUUUCUGAAUGUCAUGUUGCUUUUUGCCUCUAUGCCUUUAUUUAUACUUAUCUUUUUGGGCAAAAGUCUUUUUUUACACUUUUAGAACUAGCAAACUCAAAUGCAUUCUUCAAAAUUGAACUCAAACAAAAUUCAGGGUAUUGUUACCAAUGGAAAAAGUUUUAACCCAAGUGCCUGUUCUCCCAAAGUGUUUUUAAAAAUUUGUUUGCAUACCUCUAUUAUAGCUCUUUUAUUACAUUAAUUUAUACCAAAUUAAAUUGCAUUAAAUUAU
rnacentral:lncRNA from 1 species